rnacentral:rRNA from 1 species
CGGCGGACGGGUGAGUAACACGUAGGCAACCUGCCCUCAGGACUGGGAUAACUACCGGAAACGGUAGCUAAUACCAGAUAAUUCACUUCUUCGCAUGGAGAAGUGAGGAAAGACGGAGCAAUCUGUCACCGGAGGAUGGGCCUGCGGCGCAUUAGCUAGUUGGAGAGGUAACGGCUCCCCAAGGCGACGAUGCGUAGCCGACCUGAGAGGGUGAUCGGCCACACUGGGACUGAGACACGGCCCAGACUCCUACGGGAGGCAGCAGUAGGGAAUCUUCCGCAAUGGGCGAAAGCCUGACGGAGCAACGCCGCGUGAGUGAUGAAGGUUUUCGGAUCGUAAAGCUCUGUUGCCAAGGAAGAACGUCCUUAAGAGUAACUGCUUAAGGAGUGACGGUACUUGAGAAGAAAGCCCCGGCUAACUACGUGCCAGCAGCCGCGGUAAUACGUAGGGGGCAAGCGUUGUCCGGAAUUAUUGGGCGUAAAGCGCGCGCAGGCGGUCAUUUAAGUCUGGUGUUUAAGCCCGGGGCUCAACCCCGGAUCGCACGGGAAACUGGAUGACUUGAGUGCAGAAGAGGAGAGUGGAAUUCCACGUGUAGCGGUGAAAUGCGUAGAGAUGUGGAGGAACACCAGUGGCGAAGGCGACUCUCUGGGCUGUAACUGACGCUGAGGCGCGAAAG